rnacentral:RNase_P_RNA from 1 species
UCGCCCCCCUGGGGGGGGGGAGGGGGGGGGGGGAGGAAACCCCGGCCCCAAGGGGGCAAGGGGCCGGGUAACGCGGGGGGGGUGCCACCCCCCACGCCCAGUAAAAAAGAGAGAAAACCGCCGAUGGCCCGCGCAAGCGGGAUCAGGUAAGGGUGAAAGGGUGCGGUAAGAGCGCACCGCGCGGCUGGUAACAGUCCGCGGCACGGUAAACUCCACCCGGAGCAAGGCCAAAUAGGGGUUCAUAAGGUACGGCCCGUACUGAACCCGGGUAGGCUGCUUGAGCCAGUGAGCGAUUGCUGGCCUAGAUGAAUGA